GUGUUUUUGGUUUUUCGUUUUUUUUGCUCAGACGCAAUUGUGAAAAAAAUAAUUAACGUGCGUUUCGAAUGGAAAAAUUGAACAAGAGCCGCGGGCGGGGCGGGGAAAAGGCGGCCGGGCGCGCGCGCGCGAGCGCGCACACACGCCCAACCCAACCCCCCGGCCCCCCACCCGCAGGCCCCCACAACAGUGCACACGGUGUGGUGAAGGUAACAGGAUUGUUGAUGAUCCAUCAGCAGGUUCACCUACAGAUA
rnacentral:misc_RNA from 1 species